rnacentral:rRNA from 1 species
GAACGCGUGGCGGCGUGCCUAACACAUGCAAGGUCGAGGCGGGAAAUGUUACAACAGAGAUUCGUACAAAGUGAGAACAGUAGGAUAGCGGCGGACGGGUGAGUAACGCGUAGGUAAUCUGCCUUCAGCACAGGGAUAGCCUAGGGAAACCUGGAUUAAUACCUGAUAACGCAUUGAAGUCACAUGGCGUUGAUGCCAAAGAUUUAUCGGCUGGAGAUGAACCUGCGUCUGAUUAGAUAGUUGGUGAGGUAACGGCCCACCAAGUCAACGAUCAGUAGCCGACCUGAGAGGGUGAUCGGCCACAUUGGAACUGAGACACGGUCCAAACUCCUACGGGAGGCAGCAGUGGGGAGUAUUGCACAAUGGGCGCAAGCCUGAUGCAGCAACGCCGCGUGAGCGAUGAAGGUCUUCGGAUCGUAAAGCUCUGUCCUCUGGGAAGAAGAAGUGACGGUACCAGAGGAGGAAGCCCCGGCUAACUACGUGCC